rnacentral:misc_RNA from 1 species
GUUAGGUCAGGAGUCAGCUCUAGAGGUGAAUUGACCAAAUUGCCCUUCGCGAGUUUGAUCCGAUUUGCAAAUAAUUUGGCAUUUCUUUCGGAGUCCUGACCUAAUUAUUUGACCUACUUAUCAGCUCUUUCCUGUGAGUUUCUCUUUUCUACUAGAUUCGCAAUAGUUCUUAGGACCGCGGUGUCAUAAUUUCCCGUUCAAAAUUAGGGUUAGGACUGACCUCGCAGUCACUUCCCGGUGUGGUCACCUAUCGCUGUGACCCUCGGCUCAUUUAACUUUUUAUGCUCUGUUUUUCUUAUUUAUAUUUUGUCUUCUGGUAAUUACUAUUAAUUUUUGUUCAUGGCUUUUCUAGGUGAUAUAAGCAUAUGUCUAGACAUACUAACUGUCUGGACAGACACCGAUCACUGAAACAGUAGAAUACAUAGACCGCUAAUAUAGGGGUGUUACACCAAGCUGCAGCAAUUGUUGAACCACAAUCAGGAUGCUGGAGCCAUUUUGCUUCAAACCUUAAAAGGAAUUUCUUGCUGAUGAUAGGGGGUUCCAAAAACAUAAUCAGAGGUCUAUGGUCCGAACCAAAGAGAGCUUCACGGAGAACAUAAGCUUUUGGAAAUAGCUCUCUCCACUCCACUGAGACCAAAGGUCGGUCCAGCCUUUCCAAGAUUGCAUUUUCUCCAAGCUGCUUGUUGAACCACGUAAAAAUUGGACCCUUGCACUCCAACACCAUUAAGGCCGUCUGAUUAAUAAAAUUCACCAUGUCCUGAACUUGGGAAUUAAGAACCAUAUAACCACCAUAUUUGUCCUCCUGUGAUAUCAAAGAGUUGAAAUCCCCAAUACAAACCCACGCUUCAGAGUUCCCUGAAGAAAGACUUCUCAAACUCUCCUAAAAGGAAACUCGAUUCUCUCUCUCUGGAUUACCAUAUACAAAUGUCAUACGCCAAGCCUGUUUUCCACCAUUUAAUUCCACAAGAGAAUCCACACAAUUGCUCGUGUAUUGUAUUAUAUUAAGUUUGAUAUCUUCUUUCCACCAAAUGGCUAGACCACCAGAGAGCCCAUUCGGAUUGACAUAAAACCGAUUAACAAAAUCUCUCCCAAUUCUUCUUUGCAAAGACUCCAUAUAUCUCUCUCUGUUCUUUGUCUCCAUGAGAUAGACAAUGGAGGGACGAUGCUUCAAAAUGAGCUCUUUAAGAGCUCGAACUGCCCGGGGUUGCCCAAUCCCCUGGCAGUUCCAUGCUAAAGUGGUCAUGGCACUUGUGGUGGCUUUUGGCCAGCCACCAAGGCCUCAGAGGUUUCAAUUGUAUUCUAAAUUUCCACUUGAUUAUUAAGAUCAUCAUCUCCUGCAUUCUGACUACUUGCUAUUUCAGCUCUAGCAUUUCCAGUCCCAGUAAAACUCUGAUCAUGGGAAGUAGAAGAGGAAGUAUCCCUUGCCCUACGUUUCCAUUUUCGGUUUGAAGUUGUUGACCCCUUGAAAGGUGAUAAGGAGUCCUCUUCUGUGACUUUGUGGAUCUCCAGUGUUGUACCAGAAUUUGCUUUGUGUUGGUUCUCAUCGGAUCGACACCCUUUUUCAUUGAUAAGUUCUAAGUUUACUUUCUUAGAUCCCAGAAGACUAUGUGGUUCCUGAAUAUUGAGAAUUCCUGCAAUUUCCUUUGGGUUAGGUCCAGACAAAAUUGUCUCCGGCUUCAACAUGCGACAGGCCAGAUGCACUAAGAAAUCCAAAGGUUUCGGCUCCAGAAUCUCAGUAUCAAGAGGAUUGGGCUUAGGAACAUGUAACUGGGCCAAGCUAUUUUGAAAAACUUGUUUACUUUUAUCCCAAUUUUUAAACUUAUCUGGGCUCACUUGUUUAUAAUGGGCCAAAGAUGACACAGAACUCCAAGGCCUUUUAACACCCAUUAUGGUCCCCGAUAAGGCUAUUCCAGAACCUCCGUCUGCAGCAUAGUCUUUUUUCGAGGCUAUUCUCGGAGAAGAUAAUUGCUUGUCAUUAAUGCAGCCGUCUAAUUCUAUCCCUGAAUCAACCGAAGAGAUCUUUGGUAAGGCCAUGUCAGAGGUAUUCUUUGCAACGUCAGGACAGUGAAGAAGGUUUUUCCUUUGGUUAGGGUUAUCAUCGAGCAGUGCAAUGGGAUCUAUAUUUGGUUUGGGGUUCUUAGACCUGCCUACUAAGCAUGCUUUUUUGUCCUGUCACAAUUAAUGCUGUCAGUAGGGUUCAACAAAGGAGAGGGAGAGAGACUAGGUUGGACAUGUAAGGUACGCACCGCUUUAUUCCGGCGAAGGGAUGGGUUUUGGAUAAGAACCAGAGCCUUGGAUUGAUGGUUUGUGUUGUUUUCUUAUGUAUUUAUGCUUGUGGUUCCUGUAUUUUGGUGAAAGGGUAAUUUUUGUCUGGAGUUUGGGUUGAAGGAGUUAGAGUUUGAAGUAAAGUUGAUGGGGUCGAUUUAGCAAGAAGCUAGAGACCAAACUUUUGGGUUGAAGCUCCAUCUACAUCCCCUUCCUUCUGUCUUUUAUCACAGUGCCUCACGAUGUGUUCCAUAAUUCCACAAUGGAAACAGAACACUGGCAAUUCUCAUAUUUAAAUUUUACCCAAUCCUUCUUAUCACCAGAUUUUGACAUGAAAACACCAGUAAGUAGGGGUUUGCUUACCUCUACCCAGACUCUGAUCCGCAUGAUUGGAGCCUAGUCAUACUUGUCUGUAUUUAAAUUAUCCAUGCAGAUAAGCCCCUUGAAAAGAUUGCCAAUCUUGGCUGCAUUCUCUUGGUUCCAGUUGCUUGGUGGCAAACCAUGCAUCUAAACCCAGAAGGCAUCCACAUUAAAAUUUAUUUCCUUAAUGGAUAUGUCCGGCGGUCACUCCUUAAGAACCAGUAAAUUGUUAUCAAUCAACCAGGGCCCUUUGUCCACUAUUCUAACUUUCUCUGCCAUGUCUUCAAAAAUGAAGAUAAAUGUGCCUUCCGGUCCUCUCCUAACUUGGAAAGCGUUCUCAUUUUUUCAAACUUUCCCCACAGUAGUUCUGAGGAUCCAUGGAUUGUACUUCCUGGAGGCUAUCACCCUGGCUACCAAUUUGUUUCCUGUCAUUUGAUGCCCAGCUUCUGCUGAGGUUGCUAACUCCAGAUGGGGUUCCUCACAGCUAAGAUUCUCAGUCAUACCGAUUAACUCGGUUAAAGGGUUGUUGGGGUUGGUUCAUAAUGAGGUGAAAAUCAACGAUAAAGGAGGAGUAAACAGAGAUGGGUGAAAGGGAGUAAUAGCAAUCUCUGAAAAAAGUGGACGACGUUGCUACCAAUUAAAGACAAUAAAGACAAGAAGCUCCACUCACAGGAGAAAAAAACACCAUCAAUCUGAAUAAGAAGACGAGAGAUCCCCAGAUUUCUUCUCGAUGGAAAUAUCUGAACUAACCAUGUAAGGUGGCCACCGGUUAUGUAUUCACACCUUCGUUUAUCCAUUUGUUAGCAAACGGCUACCGAUCAUCUCUUAUUUUAUCCACUAAUUAGUUAUUAGUGCUUAUAUUAUCAAAC